GAUGAACGCUGGCGGCGUGCCUAAUACAUGCGAGUCGAGCGAACGGACGAGAAGCUUGCUUCGCUGAUGUUAGCGGCGGACGGGUGAGUAACACGUGGAUAACCUACCUAUAAGACUGGGAUAACUUCGGGAAACCGGAGCUAAUACCGGAUAAUAUUUUGAACCGCAUGGUUCAAAAGUAAAAGACGGUCUUGCUGUCACUUAUAGAUGGAUCCGCGCUGCAUUAGCUAGUUGGUAAGGUAACGGCUUACCAAGGCAACGAUGCAUAGCCGACCUGAGAGAGUGAUCGGCCACACUGGAACGGAGACACGGUCCAGACUCCUACGGGAGGCAGCAGUCGGGAAUCUUCCGCAAUGGGCGAAAGCCUGACGGAGCAAAGCCGCGUGAGUGAUGAAGGUCUUCGGAUCGUAAAGCUCUGUUGUUAGGGAAGAACAUAUGUGUAAGUAAAUGUGCACAUCUUGACGGUACCUAAUGAAAAAGCCCCGGCUAACUACGUG
rnacentral:rRNA from 1 species